rnacentral:tRNA from 1 species
GGGCGGGUAGCUUAGCCUGGUUGGAACUUUAAGCAACAAGCGUCCGCCUGAUAAGCGGAAGGUCCUGGGUUCAAAUCCCAGCCCGCCCA